UACGUAGGGUGCGAGCGUUGUCCGGAAUUAUUGGGCGUAAAGGGCUCGUAGGCGGUUUGUCGCGUCGGGAGUGAAAAUCCAGGGCUUAACUCUGGACUGGCUUCCGAUACGGGCAGACUAGAGGUAUGCAGGGGAGAACGGAAUUCCUGGUGUAGCGGUGAAAUGCGCAGAUAUCAGGAGGAACACCGGUGGCGAAGGCGGUUCUCUGGGCCUGUACUGACGCUGAGGAACGAAAGCGUGGGGAGCGAACAGG
rnacentral:rRNA from 1 species